rnacentral:rRNA from 1 species
UGUAGCUUGCUACCUUACCUAGCGGCGGACGGGUGAGUAAUGCUUAGGAAUCUGCCUAUUAGUGGGGGACAACAUUCCGAAAGGAAUGCUAAUACCGCAUACGCCCUACGGGGGAAAGCAGGGGAUCUUCGGACCUUGCGCUAAUAGAUGAGCCUAAGUCAGAUUAGCUAGUUGGUGGGGUAAAGGCCUACCAAGGCGACGAUCUGUAGCGGGUCUGAGAGGAUGAUCCGCCACACUGGGACUGAGACACGGCCCAGACUCCUACGGGAGGCAGCAGUGGGGAAUAUUGGACAAUGGGCGAAAGCCUGAUCCAGCCAUGCCGCGUGUGUGAAGAAGGCCUUUUGGUUGUAAAGCACUUUAAGCGAGGAGGAGGCUACUUGGAUUAAUACUCUAGGAUAGUGGACGUUACUCGCAGAAUAAGCACCGGCUAACUCUGUGCCAGCAGCCGCGGUAAUACAGAGGGUGCGAGCGUUAAUCGGAUUUACUGGGCGUAAAGCGUGCGUAGGCGGCUUCUUAAGUCGGAUGUGAAAUCCCUGAGCUUAACUUAGGAAUUGCAUUCGAUACUGGGAAGCUAGAGUAUGGGAGAGGAUGGUAGAAUUCCAGGUGUAGCGGUGAAAUGCGUAGAGAUCUGGAGGAAUACCGAUGGCGAAGGCAGCCAUCUGGCCUAAUACUGACGCUGAGGUACGAAAGCAU